UGUCAGUAUGGUGAGAGUCAGAAAGA
rnacentral:piRNA from 1 species